rnacentral:antisense_RNA from 1 species
CUUGAGCGACCCGAGCAACAGUGGCCGGUCCGGGUGCCGCUGCUGCCCGUACGUGGCGAGCAGCGCCUGCGCCUC